UACGAGGGGGGCGAGCGUUGUUCGGAAUUACUGGGCGUAAAGGGCGCGUAGGCGGCCUUCUAAGUCGAACGUGAAAUCCCCGGGCUCAACCCGGGAACUGCGUCCGAUACUGGAAGGCUUGAAUCCGGGAGAGGGAUGUGGAAUUCCAGGUGUAGCGGUGAAAUGCGUAGAUAUCUGGAGGAACACCGGUGGCGAAGGCGACAUCCUGGACCGGUAUUGACGCUGAGGCGCGAAAGCCAGGGGAGCAAACGGG
rnacentral:rRNA from 1 species